rnacentral:rRNA from 1 species
AAGCGUUGUUCGGAAUUACUGGGCGUAAAGGGCCAGUAGGCGGCCAACUAAGUCCGACGUGAAAUCCCCAAGCUUAACUUGGGAACUGCGUCGGAUACUGGAUGGCUUGAAUUCGGGAGAGGGAUGCAGAAUUCCAGGUGUAGCGGUGAAAUGCGAAGAUAUCUGGAGGAAUACCGGUGGCGAAGGCGGCAUCCUGGACCGACAUUGACGCUGAACGGCGAAAGCUAGGGGAGCAAACGGG